UCCUGGCCAACCAAUCGUCGCCGCAGGGGCAGCAGUAGUUCUCCCAUAAGUAAGUCACAAAGAGAUCGAGAAUUUAUAAUCCUAUAGUCCUAGUUGAGAAACAAGACAGAAUUGAUCAUGGAGCGUUGUUCUGCUUCUUCCUUGGCAAUUGCGCUUUCUGCGGCAGUGCUGGUUCUCAUGUGCUGCUCCUUGGCAUGCUCGGCGGAGGUCCAAGUCGCAGGUAACCGUGGGCCAAGGGUUCCUACGCCACCUGCGCCGAUGCCGCACACCCACGACGAGUUCGACAUGCAUCCACCGCCGCGGCCGACGUGGUCGCCUACGCCGCACCGCAAGACACUGCAGGCUGUCCCAUACUUCUGAGUUCUGGCAAUGCUACGAUUGAUGCCCACUAGCUUAUACUAUAUGUAUUUAUACCAUGUCUAUGCAUGUAUACGACCGACUAUUGUGCCAAGGAACAACAAAUCAAUAUAAGACUAGCGUACCUAUUA